rnacentral:rRNA from 1 species
CAGUCGCCGCGGGAAUACGGAGGGCGCGAGCGUUACCCGGAUUUACUGGGCGUAAAGGGCGUGUAGGCGGCCUGGGGCGUCCCAUGUGAAAGGCCACGGCUCAACCGUGGAGGAGCGUGGGAUACGCUCAGGCUAGAGGGUGGGAGAGGGUGGUGGAAUUCCCGGAGUAGCGGUGAAAUGCGCAGAUACCGGGAGGAACGCCGAUGGCGAAGGCAGCCACCUGGUCCACUUCUGACGCUGAGGCGCGAAAGCGUGGGGAGCAAACCGGAUUAGAUACCCCGGUAGUCCCUGUCUCUUAUAA